rnacentral:misc_RNA from 1 species
UACCGAGUUCAUGCCCUGACGGGUAGACCUCCCACCCUAUGUUAUAUUACCUUUGUUGCUUUGGCGGGCCGCCCGGCUUCGGCCAGGCUACCGGCUCCAGCUGGUAAGCGCUCGCCAGAGGACCCCCAACUCUGAAUAUCAGUGUAGUCCGAGUACUAUAUAAUAGUUAAAACUUUCAACAACGGAUCUCUUGGUUCUGGCAUCGAUGAAGAACGCAGCGAAAUGCGAUAAGUAAUGUGAAUUGCAGAAUUCAGUGAAUCAUCGAAUCUUUGAACGCACAUUGCGCCCGCUGGUAUUCCGGCGGGCAUGCCUGUCCGAGCGUCAUUAUGACCAAUCAAGCUCUGCUUGGCCUUGGGGCCUGCUAUACCGGCGGUCCUUAAAACCAGUGGCGGUGCCGUCUGGCCCUAAGCGUAGUAAUUCUCCUCGCUAUAGAGCUCUAGACGUCUACUCGCCAGAACCCCCAACUUCUCAAGGUUG